ensembl:snRNA U6 U6 spliceosomal RNA
GCACUCGCCUCAGCAGCACAUAAACUAAUAUUGGUACAAUACAGAGAAGAUCAGCAUGGCCCCUGAGCAAGGAUGACACGUAAAUUUGUGAAUCAUUCCUUAUUAAA